CGCGGGGUAGAGCAGCGGUAGCUCGUUGGGCUCAUAACCCAAAGGUCGCUGGUUCGAAUCCAGCCCCCGCUA
rnacentral:tRNA from 1 species